GAUGAACGCUAGCGACAGGCCUAACACAUGCAAGUCGAGGGGCAGCAUGAAAGUAGCUUGCUACUUUUGAUGGCGACCGGCGCACGGGUGCGUAACAGGUGUGCAAUCUGUCCAUAAUCGGGGAAUAGCCCAGCGAAAGUUGGAUUAAUGCUCCAUGUGAGCCAAGGAGGCAUCUCUUUGGCUUGAAACGUAAGGAUUAUGGGUGAGCACGCUUCUGAUUAGGUAGUUGGUGAGGUAACGGCUCACCAAGCCGACGAUCAGUAGGGGUUCUGAGAGGAAGGUCCCCACAUUGGAACUGAGACACGGUCCAAACUCCUACGGGAGGCAGCAGUGAGGAAUAUUGGUCAAUGGACGGAAGUCUGAACCAGCCAAGUCGCGUGAAGGAUGAAGGUUCUAUGGAUUGUAAACUUCUUUUGUCUGAGGGUAAAAAAGCGGACGUGUCCGUUCUUGCAAGUAUCAGACGAAUAAGCAUCGGCUAACUCCGUGCCAGCAGCCGCGGUAAGAC
rnacentral:rRNA from 1 species